rnacentral:rRNA from 1 species
GUCUAUGGCCAUGCCACCCUGAACAUGCCCGAUCUUGUUGAUCUUGGAAGCUAAGCAGAGUUGUGCCUGGUUAGUACUUGGAUGGGAGACCGCCUAGGAAUACCAGGUGCUGUAGGUU